UCGGCCGACCCCGCGUCUUUGUUUUUUUAGUUUUCAGUUAGAGUCUGAAUUCUUUGCACUUCGUGUCAACAGUCGGCUGGUCGAGUCGUAUCCUGUAAUCUGCCGACACGAUCAGACAUUGCGGACGCACACUGUCACUUUCAAGGGGACUUUUAAAACAAAACAGAAGACUGGAGCUGAAGGGGAAACGUACUUUCCUUUAUGAUCUGACACAAAGAGGAGGCGGAAAGAGAGGAGAGAACCGGAGUCUCUGGCAGAGGCACCGGGGGGAACUGAUAUUUGUGGUGACUGGCUAUCAGAGGCAGCAUCAGAGGGAAGCUCCCGCGGUAAUGAGAGGUCAAGUGAUUGGGUGUCGGAUUCACAAACACGGAUGAUGGUGAUUCAUUCAGAAGCUCCUCCCUCCGUCAUCGCCUUCAUGUCGUGUUCUCCUCAUUCAUAACUGUCAAGAACCUGCUCGUCUGUACCACCGUGGAGGAUGAUCCGUGGACGGAUACGAGUCCGUACGAAGUCUGAAAGUCUGAAAGCUAAGAGCAGGAGACGCAGGCUGACUUUCAGAUGUACCCUCCAGCUUCUGCAGCCGGUUGAGGUUGGUGGGGUUGGAGGAGGGUAAAGAAGAGGUAGAAGACACUAACAAGAUCAUGCAAUAUUAAUGAGGAGUGAGAUGAGGGACAUGCAAGGCAAAUCGGACACUGUAUGUGCAGGAAAAUAAAUAAUG